GUCGCCGAUGCCGGCAUCCAACAUCAUGGCCCGGUAGGUGUUGUUGUCCAUGCCCAGGUUCUGCACCACCCUGUUGGCAUUGGUCACCGUGGCCAUGCCGUCCCCGUUCUCCCGCAGGACGGUGACCAACCCCUGCAGAAGGCCGUCCUCGACCAACCUCGCCUGGACGUCCGGCGCUGGGGGGCUCCCGGAGAGUCCGUGGAAA
rnacentral:SRP_RNA from 14 species